AUUUUAUUAUUUUUUUGAAGAAAACACUGUCCAUGUGAAAAAGUAAUUGCCCCCUCACUUUCCAAUCCAAAAAAAUGACCAAGACAUUAAAUGAAACAAUCCAGAUGUGCUUUAGUUACAGACUUUCAGCUUUAAUUUUGAAGGUAUUUACAUCCAGAUCAGGUAAACGUUGUAGGAACUACAACAUAUUUCAGAUGUGCCCUCCGCCUUUAAGUAAUUGAACAAACCAACAUAUUGAACAGAUGUUUCAUUUUGAAAAGUUUUCAAAGUUGCUGCUAUUUCCGUAAACUGUAUUUUAUACAGCUCUCCACUGCCUGUACAUUAUGGAAGUAUUUACACAUUUCUUCUUGCUUCAUGCUGGAUUUUAAGUCAGACAGAGAGGGUGAAAUGGUGAUUUUCAUCUGUGAUUUCAGGGUUUAUAUGAAUAAAGCAGGAGCUGCACCCUUCUGUCCAACAGAUACAAUCCAUGAGGACAGCAAGAAUUCUGAAUUGUGAAACAACGCUAGGUUAUCCACCAGUGGUUGGGAUGUACAUUGAUUUUUAUGGUGCAGAGACAUAAUUUUGAUCAUUAUUGAUAUACAUUUGUAGAACCAGUGAAUCCUGCAUUUUGGAAACCCAGCUUUUGUUGCUGUUGUGGUUGCCACUGUUGUUGGCGCCACUGUUGUUGCUGUUGUGGUUGCCACUGUUGUUGGCGCCACUGUUGUUGCUGUUGUGGCUGCCACUGUUGUUGCUGUUGUGGUUGCCACUGUUGUUGGCGCCACUGUUGUUGCUCUUGUUGACGCCACUGUUGUUGCUGUUGUGGUUGCCACUGUUGUUGACGCCACUGUUGUUGCUCUUGUUGACGCCACUGUUGUUGCUGUUGUGGCUCCCACUGUUGUUGGCGCCACUCUUGCAGUUGUUGUUGCUGCUGUUGCUGUUCUUCUCCAGAAGGCAAUUUCAGGAACAAAGCACACUGGAGUCCAUCGAAAAUGAGAUGAAGGUUUGUGAAAUACAGAACAUUAAAAUAAAUAUUUUGGUAAUUCGCUAAGUCGGUAACAUUGGCUGCGGUGUACACGAGGCACUGAAGAAUGAAAGUGGGGACGUAGACAACCAGGAAGUUGCACAUUGCAACAACCAUGAUCAGUUUCUUCAGGGUGGAAGUGGACGGGGACAAGGUAGGCCUUCUAGAUGCUACAAUGACGGACAGAGCAAACAGAAACAUGAAAGCGGCCAAAGUGAAUAUGGG
ensembl:lncRNA